CAUUUUUGUUGAAGACUCAAACUAGACUGGUGGAUUUUUGGGUUGCAGUAUGAUUUGCAUUGUGCCGGAUCAAGAGAGUGCAUGUUGAAACUGCGGGCAGUCGUGGCCUAAUGGUUAGAGAGUUGGACUUGUAACCCAGGUCAUGGGUUCGAGUCUCGGUACUGGAAAGGAUUGUAGUUGGGGGGAGUUAAUGUACAGCGCUCUCUUCCACUCUCAAUACCUCGACUGAGGUGAGACCCUUGAGCAAGGCACAGAAUCACCAACUGCUUCCCGGGCGCUGCAGCAAAAAAGGCUGCCCACUGUUCUGGGUUUGUGUGUGUGUUCACUUGGAUGGGUGAAAUGCAGAGCACAAAUUCCAAGUAUGGAACACCAUCCUUGGCCACAUAUCACGCCCUUUCCUUUCCUUGUUGCAUAUCAGUUUGUUGUAAUUCUACUCCCAACCUCAAGGUGGAACUAGGGAGGGUUCUAAAGGAAGUGCUAUCCUGAUAAGAGAGACAACGAGGAGUGUUUGGUAGAGGUAAUGUCAUGCUUUUGAGUGUGUACUCGGUUUUAUGCAGUAAACCCUGUUAUAAGAAACAUCUUUUGUUCUACAGCUUCAUAGCGUUUUCUUUGGGCCUCAUUCACUCAUCAAGUUUAUGGACACUUCAUCUGGACUAUAGUUAUACUUGUACAUCAUUGACCACCUCUUUCCUGGACUAUUCUUUAUGGUUUGGAACAUUUCAUGUUGGACUUCUACUGUACAAUUGUUGAAUGGUUGAACCAUUACAGAAUACUUACCUCUUGAAAUAUAUUGGAUUGAUAAAUAAUUGACUUUAAUUGUUAAGGUUGGACUGAAAUGCUUGAUCAAAUGUUUUGCUGAUAUAGUUGCUGUAUGUUUGUCUAUACACACUACUUGUUUAUUUAUAUGUUAUCUGCUCUCAAUUUAAAUACACAAGCUCUGCUCUUGGAUGUAUAUGGAUCCCCGUAUUUUUUUUUUUUUUUUUUUAUGUUAUCGGAAGAAAGCUGUAACAGUUUUUUGUGUUUCUGACUAAAUGGAAAGACAUGUAAAUAUUGAAUGUACAGUUUUGUUGGAUAUUUAUUUAUAAGACUUUGUUAGUGUUUUUGUGGUUACCUUUGUGUUGAAUAGUGGAGCUUUUGCUUAGGUUGUGGGCGGCUACAGUACAUGACAGUAGCUGUAUUAAUGUCAUUGCAUUGACAAGUCGCUUCUAUCUCCCUCAUCCCAUGUAUUUAGUAAAAUAAGUAAUAUUUAGCACGCUAACAUCAGUUUCGUCUUUCAAAUUAGGGUCAUUGAAUGAUGUGUGGUAAUUUUUUCGUUGAUUUAUUGUUUAUUGAACAUUGUUUUUGCACCUAGACUGUCCAAUUAGAUUUUACUGGAGAUUGAUUAUUAUG
ensembl:lncRNA